rnacentral:sRNA from 1 species
GCUAUGUCCAUUGGCGCACAACUGUAAUCCCUGCUGCUUGGGAGGCUGAGGCAGGAGGAUCACUUGAGCCCAGGAGUUUGAGGCCAGCCUGGGCCUCAUAGCAAGACCCUAUCUCAA